CCUACGGGGAGCUGCAGUGGGGAAUAUUGGACAAUGGGCGAAAGCCUGAUCCAGCCAUGCCGCGUGUGUGAAGAAGGCCUUCGGGUUGUAAAGCACUUUCAGUGGGGAAGAAAGCCUUGGGGCUAAUACCCUCGAGGAAGGACAUCACCCACAGAAGAAGCACCGGCUAACUCCGUGCCAGCAGCCGCGGUAAUACGGAGGGUGCGAGCGUUAAUCGGAAUUACUGUGCGUAAAGCGCGCGUAGGCGGUCUGAUAAGCCGGUUGUGAAAGCCCCGGGCUCAACCUGGGAACGGCAUCCGGAACUGUCAGGCUAGAGUGCAGGAGAGGACGGUAGAAUUCCAGGUGUAGCGGUGAAAUGCGUAGAGAUCGGGAGGAACACCAGUGGCGAAGGCGGCCUUCUGGACUGACACUGACGCUGAGGUGCGAAAGCGUGGGUAGCAAACAGGAUUAGAUACCCCGGUAGUC
rnacentral:rRNA from 1 species